rnacentral:sRNA from 1 species
UAUUCUGCCCUACAGGGAAGGAUGAGAAGCUUCGACCAAGGUUCGACUCGAGCGUAGCGAGAGAACGUUGCCGCAGGCAACGGCCCGAAGGGCGAGGAGCGAUAGCGACGAGUUAUCCUUCCCCCACCACCA